rnacentral:rRNA from 1 species
GUCCAGACUCCUACGGGAGGCAGCAGUGAGGAAUAUUGGUCAAUGGGCGGAAGCCUGAACCAGCCAAGUCGCGUGAGGGAAUAAGGCCCUACGGGUCGUAAACCUCUUUUGCCGGGGAGCAAGGGCGGGGACGUGUCCCGGCCCGGAGAGUACCCGGAGAAAAAGCAUCGGCUAACUCCGUGCCAGCAGCCGCGGUAAUACGGAGGAUGCGAGCGUUAUCCGGAUUUAUUGGGUUUAAAGGGUGCGUAGGCGGGCUUUUAAGUCAGCGGUAAAAAUUCGGGGCUCAACCCCGUCCGGCCGUUGAAACUGGGGGCCUUGAGUGGGCGAGAAGAAGGCGGAAUGCGUGGUGUAGCGGUGAAAUGCUUAGAUAUCAUGAAGAACUCCGAUCGCGAAGGCAAGUGUCCGGGGUGCAACUGACGCUGAGGCUCGAAAGUGCGGGUAUCAAACAGGAUUAGAUACCCCGGUAAG